UGCCAGCCGCCGCGGUAAUACCGGCAGCUCGAGUGGUCGUCGCUUUUAUUGGGUCUAAAAUGUCCGUAGCCUGUUUGGUAAAUCUGUGGGUAAAUCAACGAGCUUAACUCGUUGAAUUCUGCAGAGACUGCCAGACUAGGGACCGGGAGAGGUAUGAGGUACUCUGGGGGUAGGGGUAAAAUCCUGUCAUCCUCAGAGGACCACCUGUUGCGAAGGCGUCAUACUGGAACGGAUCCGACGGUCAGGGACGAAGCCUAGGGGCACGAACCGGAUUAGAUA
rnacentral:rRNA from 1 species